rnacentral:misc_RNA from 1 species
GAUGAAGAACGUAGCGAAAUGCGAUAAGUAAUGUGAAUUGCAGAAUUCAGUGAAUCAUCGAAUCUUUGAACGCACCUUGCGCUCUUUGGUAUUCCGAAGAGCAUGCCUGUUUGAGUGUCAUGAAAAUAUCAACCUUGACUUGGGUUUUGUGCUCUAGUCUCGGCUUGGAAUUGGGUGCUUGCCGCUUUUACGAGCGGCUCACCUUAAAUGUAUUAGCUGGAUCUGUCUUUGAGACUUGGUUUGACUUGGCGUAAUAAGUAUUUCGCUAAGGUCAUUCUUCGGAGUGGCCUCGUUUCUAGGACGCUUGUCCGCUUUCCAAUACAAGUUCCACCUCGUGGACAUGACUUUUUAUUAUCUGGCCUCAAAUCAGGUAGGACUACCCGCUGAACUUAAGCAUAUCAAUAAGCGGAGGA